rnacentral:rRNA from 1 species
UUGGAGGGCAAGUCUGGUGCCAGCAGCCGCGGUAAUUCCAGCUCCAAUAGCGUAUAUUAAAGUUGUUGCAGUUAAAAAGCUCGUAGUUGAAUUUCGGAGUUUGUCGGUUGGUCGGGCUUCACUGUUCGCACUGGCCUGAUGGAUUCCUACCUUCUGAAUAACCAGCAUGCUAUUAAUUUAGUGCGUUGGGGAAGCAGAGCUAUUACCUUGAAAAAAUUAGAGUGCUUAAAGCAGGCUUACGCUUGAAUAGAUUAGCAUGGAAUAAUAAAAUAGGACGGCAUGGUUCUAUUUUGUUGGUUUCUAGGAUCACCGUAAUGAUUAAUAGGGAUAGUUGGGGGCAUUAGUAUUCAAUUGUCAGAGGUGAAAUUCUUGGAUUUAUUGAAGACUAACUUCUGCGAAAGCAUUUGCCAAGGAUGUUUUCAUUAAUCAAGAACGAAAGUUAGGGGAUCGAAGACGAUCAGAUACCGUCGUAGUCUUAACCAUAAACUACGCCGACUAGGGAUCGGACGAUGUUAAUUUUUUAAUGACUCGUUCGGCGCCUUACGGGAAAC